rnacentral:rRNA from 1 species
GAUGAACGCUAGCUACAGGCUUAACACAUGCAAGUCGAGGGACCGGCGCACGGGUGAGUAACACGUAUACAACCUGCCCUUUACUCGGGGAUAGCCUUUCGAAAGAAAGAUUAAUACCCGAUGUAAAGGACGGGGAUGCGUUCCAUUAGGUUGUUGGUGAGGUAACGGCUCACCAAGCCUUCGAUGGAUAGGGGUUCUGAGAGGAAGUUCCCCCACAUUGGAGCUGAGACACGGACCAAACUCCUACGGGAGGCAGCAGUGAGGAGUAUUGGUCAAUGUGCGUUAGCCUGAACCAGCCAAGUAGCGUGAAGGAUGAAGGCUUAUGGGUCGUAAACUUCUUUUAUAUAAGAAUAUGUAUUAUAUGAAUAAGGAUCGGCUAACUCCGUGCCAGCAGCCGCGGUAAUAC